rnacentral:lncRNA from 1 species
UUUCAGAUCUUUGCGAAGCGCCAAGAUCUUCGUGACAUACUCAUCUAUUUCUUUCUGCUUGGACUCAAUGGUCUUGUCCUUCUUCGGCAAAAUAUUGUCACGGAGGUUCUCCAUCCUGGACCUCAUAUUCUUCAGCUUAUCGAGAGCCUUCUCGCUCUCUUUGAACUUCGCGUCGAGUUGGUUGUAUUUUUCUUGUAUCUUCUCGACGUCAUGGAUAGAGUCUCCAUGAUAACAAGCAUGUGCCAUAUAGCAUGCGGCAUUCAUAUGCUUUAAGAGCUCGCUCCGGCACCAGGUCCCAGGAUGACCCAAAAGGAGUGACAUCGCUUCCCUUCGAGUUUCAGCAUCAGCCAUGAAGUCGGGAAGUGUCACUCCAGCAGAAGUGUAAGGCACAUAGCCCCUGGGAGGUGGUGGUGCAGAGCGAGAGCUCGACCCAUGCUCAAAG